CUCCAAGCCCCUCUGAGCAGUGUUUGAAGUGACAAAUAUGAUCAGUCACUGACAGGUUCUCUUCCCCAUUCUGCUACAGGGGACGGAGAGGAGAAAAUGGGGGAGUGAGAGAGAGCAGGACAUGGUUUGGAGAGUCUUGGAGGAGGCACUGAACUGGGAACUGCCAUUCCUAAACUAUGACAAAUGUGUAAGGUCUCACUGCCCAGAAAACUGCAUUUGACUUAAAGGAAUACAGCUGCUUCCAUUACUUGCUGUUUUGUUGAGAAUAAACCAAAGUGAUUUACUUUAAAAGUAAGGAGAAGGGUGAAGAGUUGCUUUUUCCCUACAGGUCAGUCAAUGCAUUUGUUUAGCAACGUGCUGUGGCUUGGGUCCUUCUUGCAGGAAAUAGAAGCAGAAAAGAAAACUUAAAAAGCUUUGUUUGAAAGGUUAGGAAAGGUCAGAAGUUACACGUGAA